rnacentral:lncRNA from 1 species
AAAAGCAAACUGCUAUCAAACUGCAGGCACCAAAAGAAAACAAAAAAAAGUGCAUGGACUAAUACCAAAAGUUGAUGUAAUUGCAGGGACUAAUUGUUAAUUGCAAAGUGGAAUCCUCAUCUUAUUCAUCAGUGACAAUGCCUUAUAUAGGCUUAUUACAAACAUAGGCCUAACAAGUUUUCACUUGACCAAGCCAAGUUACUCAUACUACACAAGUCACUAAGCUAUACACAUUACAUGAUUCAUCCAACACUAAUCACAUAUUUAAGCCUAUAAUAUGUUAUCGGGACUAUAAGAAAAUGCUUAAAACCUUGAUCAUAUUCAAUUGUUGAUUGAUCAAAUAACUACAUGUAAAUGUUGAUGCUCAGAUCAUACGUAUAGUAUGUUGUUGUACAUAUAAAAGAACUUUAAAGAAUGCUCAUAGAUACUCUUUUCCUCCUAUGAUAUGAACAUAGUUAAUUUCCUUUCAUUGUAUAAUUAAAGGUUCGUUAAGAUUGAACUUGUAUGGUUAGAAAAGAAUGACAUAUUAUUGUGAAUAUAAAUAAGUGGCAGUUUUUUUUUUUUACAUAAAAUAAGUGCCAGUUUAUUAAACUAAUUAAAUUUAAGUAUUUAUUGAUCUAAGACUUAAAUUUCAAAAAUUAGUUUUUAUAAAAAAAAAUGGCCUAAAGAAAUAAUUUUAUUUUUUUUAAAUCUAAGCCUUGAAUUUUACAUUUAUGUCGACACAAUUACAAAAAUACAACCCAUAACUAAUAAUUCUAUUUCUUUUCUUGUGUUAGAUUACACAACAUUUGUUCAACUCAAACAAUUUCUAUAUUUUAUACGUAUAAAUUU